AGCGGUAGAGAGAAGCUUGCUUCUCUUGAGAGCGGCGGACGGGUGAGUAAUGCCUAGGAAUCUGCCUGGUAGUGGGGGAUAACGUUCGGAAACGGACGCUAAUACCGCAUACGUCCUACGGGAGAAAGCAGGGGACCUUCGGGCCUUGCGCUAUCAGAUGAGCCUAGGUCGGAUUAGCUAGUUGGUGAGGUAAUGGCUCACCAAGGCUACGAUCCGUAACUGGUCUGAGAGGAUGAUCAGUCACACUGGAACUGAGACACGGUCCAGACUCCUACGGGAGGCAGCAGUGGGGAAUAUUGGACAAUGGGCGAAAGCCUGAUCCAGCCAUGCCGCGUGUGUGAAGAAGGUCUUCGGAUUGUAAAGCACUUUAAGUUGGGAGGAAGGGCAUUAACCUAAUACGUUAGUGUUUUGACGUUACCGACAGAAUAAGCACCGGCUAACUCUGUGCCAGCAGCCGCGGUAAUACAGAGGGUGCAAGCGUUAAUCGGAAUUACUGGGCGUAAAGCGCGCGUAGGUGGUUCGUUAAGUUGGAUGUGAAAUCCCCGGGCUCAACCUGGGAACUGCAUUCAAAACUGUCGAGCUAGAGUAUGGUAGAGGGUGGUGGAAUUUCCUGUGUAGCGGUGAAAUGCGUAGAUAUAGGAAGGAACACCAGUGGCGAAGGCGACCACCUGGACUGAUACUGACACUGAGGUGCGAAAGCGUGGGGAGCAAACAGGAUUAGAUACCCUGGUAGUCCACGCCGUAACGAUGUCAACUAGCCGUUGGGAGCCUUGAGCUCUUAGUGGCGCAGCUAACGCAUUAAGUUGACCGCCUGGGGAGUACGGCCGCAAGGUUAAACUCAAAUGAAUUGACGGGGCCCGCACAGCGGUGAGCAUGUGGU
rnacentral:rRNA from 1 species